rnacentral:rRNA from 1 species
AUGGAAAGUCGGACCUGCCCAGUGAUUAAUUUUCAACGGCCGCAGUACUCUGACUGUGCAAAGGUAGCAUAAUAAUUUGCCUUAUAAUUGAAGGCUGGAAUGAAUGGUUUGUCAAAGAUGAAACUGUCUCUAACUUGAUUUAUAGAAUUUUAUAUUUAAGUGAAAAAGCUUAAUUUAUAUUAAAAGACAAGAAGACCCUAUCGAGCUUGAAAAAAUUAAUAAAUAUCAUAUCUAUUUGGAAGUUUAAUUAUAAAUAAUUUUAGUUGGGGCAACUAAGGAGCAAAAAAAGCCUCCUUUAAAUAAAUAUACAAUUAAGUAGUGAUCCAAACAUUUUGAUUAAAAGAAAAAGUUACCGUAGGGAUAACAGCAUAAUUUUUUUUGAGAGCUCUAAUCGAAAAAAAAGUUUGUGACCUCGAUGUUGGACCAGAAUAUCCCAAAGAUGCAGAAGUCUUUAAAGGUUGGUCUGUUCGACCAUUAAAAUUCUA